AUACGUAGGGGGCAAGCGUUAUCCGGAUUUACUGGGUGUAAAGGGAGCGUAGACGGCAUGGCAAGUCUGAAGUGAAAACCCAGGGCUCAACCCUGGGACUGCUUUGGAAACUGUCAAGCUAGAGUGCAGGAGAGGUAAGUGGAAUUCCUAGUGUAGCGGUGAAAUGCGUAGAUAUUAGGAGGAACACCAGUGGCGAAGGCGGUUUACUGGACUGAAACUGACGUUGAGGCUCGAAAGCGUGGGGAGCAAACAGGAUUAGAUACCCUGGUAGUCCACGCCGUAAACGAUGAGUGCUAGGUGUUGGGGGGCAAAGCCCUUCGGUGCCGUCGCAAACGCAAUAAGCACUCCACCUGGGGAGUACGUUCGCAAGAAUGAAACUCAAAGGAAUUGACGGGG
rnacentral:rRNA from 1 species